AGCCCGGCCGGCGCCUGGGCGGCGGGGCGAGGGGCGGGCGCAGAGCAGUUGCGUCACUGUCUACCGGCCGGAAGCAACGUAAAAAGCGUCCUCAGCGGGCGCGCGCGCCGUGCAGGGAGCGGGAGCUGGCGGCGGGGAGGGGCUGUCGCCGUCGCCGUCGGUCCGGCCGCCGGCAGCCAUGAACCAGUUCAGCUUCGGGUCGGGCGCGGCGGGAGGCGGCUUCACCUUCGGCGUGCCGAAGACGGCCGCCGCCACCACGGCCGCGACGGGCUUCUCCUUCUCCACCUCCGCCGCCUCGGGAGGCUUCAGCUUCGGCACGGCGGCGCAGACGCCCGCCAGCAGCCAGCCGGCCGGGCUCUUCUCCCUCAGCACGCCGGCCAGCACCGCGCAGCCCGCCGGCUUCAGCUUCGGCACGCAGCCCGCCGCCACGGCGGCGCCGGCCGGGGCCGUGUUCUCGCUGGGGGGAAAGGCACCCAAAUUACACUUGGGAGGCAGUAGCACAACUCAAGCUGCAGGUAUCACAGGAGGCUUUGGGUUCGGCGGCUCUGUACCGGCUAGUGCGCCCUCAAGGCAAGCAGCAGCCCCCUCUGGCUUUGUUUUUGGCUCUGCUGGUACCACCGCCACUACCACUGAGUCUGGGACAACUGGAGGGUUUACUUUUUCCAGUGGUAGUGCAACCCAGGCAGCAACACCCAGCUUCAGUAUCAGCACCGUAAGCAGUGCGGCCCCGCAAGCAGCGCCCGCGGGGUUGACCUUUGGAGCAGCGCCUGCUGCCGCUGCCACCGCUGCUGCCACCCUAGGAGCAACAAACAACACAGCCAGCAACUGCCUUCAGCCUUGGGGGACAGUGCUCAGGUCAACUGCCCUCGCUGGGUAACUGCUUCCAUGGCUUGUAUAUCAGCAUUAUGGGGCCACAGCCCACACGCUAUUUCCAACUGGAGUGCAAGGAUUAUACUAAGGUAGCAAUACCAGGGAGCACGGCACCCCGAAAAUGAAUUUUGGAAUGUGGCUUUUGCUGCCUUGCCGGGGCAGUGUGUCAGCCCGAGAGCAAGGGGUGGGGGGGGGGGGGGGUCACAGCCGCCUUCCUUUCUUCGGGGAAAGGAAAGCCCCUGCCUGUCGUGGGGUCUAAAGCAGACGUACCCAUUUAAACACUCCCUUAACGUGCCUAGUGUUUUCCUGUGGCUACUGUUUUACUGUGGGGAAAUGCACGGAGCCAGACAGUCUCCCAGCCUGCUCCUGCGCAUCCUCCCUAGCUUUCGUCAGGCCCUGCAGAGGCUCGUCUGCACAGCCUGCCCGGCUCCGUGAAAGACCGCCUCCCCGCCAAACGGCGCUCAGGAGAAGCACGGCCUACAACAAACAGCCGGUGGCACUGAGGUCACGCCUGUGCAGGGUGACUGGGAAGGAGCUGGCAGGCCGCGCGCACGCUCAGCGGCCCAUUGUGAGGAGCUCCUGACACCUUCACAAGGUCUGCACGCCCGCCGGCGAUGUCACAGCACCGCCAGGGCAACCCAGGGCCCCGUUGCCGGGCAGGCCUCAUUUGCGCACACAGCUUUGGGAGUACCAGCAGACAUGGCUGGCUGCUCUGCCUUGGUGUGCCUUCUCCUGUGUACUCUCCUUGUACACGGGGUCCCCAUACCUGGGGAAAGAGAGGCUUCGGUGCUGUCUGAAGGUACGUACUCCAACGCAAGACCUCCUCUCCCCCACUAACAUUGUCUAAGGGUGAAUCUCCAGGGGCAAGGCAGCGCUCCCACGGGCCCCUACCAGCACCUGGGGGCACAGGCAGAAUAGGGGGCUCCCUUCCAAAGCUGAGAACACUUGAGGAGGAGCUCUUCUGCAGAGACGCGGCUUUCCACAGCCUUCUGCGCCGCCCUCCUGCGCUGCCCACCCUGGGCACACACAAGCAUCUGCCGAGCCUCGGCCCAGCACAGAAGUGGGUCUCGCUCGUGACAGCAGGCUCCUGCUUCCCUUUCUCCCAGCGCAGGAAGGAGGGAGAGAGGAGGAGCAAAACGCACCAAAAGGAGCAGGGGGGAGAAGAGAAGAAUGGGGCGUUUUCUCAAUGCACGGCACCAAACUAGGAUACCACAUGGCAUCCCGCACGUGCUGGGAUGCCACGUCCCCACGGCUGUGAUGCGUGUGCCGCUGCGCUUGGGCUCUUCACGCUUCAGCCCUCCCCUUCCUACCUUUCACCUACCACAGCAUGCACGUUUAUAUUAAACGCUGAUCUCUGGCCACUGUUUUGCAGUACUCUCCCCCAAGGGUUCUGCAGAGGCUGACCCCAGCCCUCCAAAACGCAGAACUGUUGUCGUCAUCGUCGCCAACACUUUGACGCUCGUCAUCUUGACGUUGUUCUUUGCGUUCUGCGUUUGGCUCUACUACCGACUCAAGACCAGGAAAGAAAGGUCUCCAGAGGACGAUGCCGAGGCAUCCGCUUGCCACUACCGCUGCCACUGCGGAGAGCUUCACAGCAGCCUGCAGUGUACCUGCUCCAGGUGUGCUUCUCCGAGCGCAGCAAGCCUAGAGCUCUGCAACAUCUGGGGCAAUGAAGACGACAAUCCGUAUGGCGGCCUUCUCCCAUCCCUGCCUCCUACACCGGGCAUGGGAGAGUUCAGCAGAAGCUCUUCCAGUGACAGUGCCACCACGCAGGAGGAGAACACUGCAGGCGCAGGCGCGCCUGGCACGGGCAGGCUCGAAGCACCAACCGGCGACAAGGCCUGAACGGGUGGCAUCUCGGGCUGGGCACCGACACCAGGCCACGGCACCGUCCCUCCGCCCAGCCUGCCCGCACCGUGCUCCUCCGUCUCGGGCCGGUGCCAUCAUCGCGCCCGGCCACCUGCACGAGGAGGCCCCUGGGCAAUAAAGACGGAGAGGAGGCAGA